rnacentral:rRNA from 1 species
GACGAACGCUGGCGGCGUGCUUAACACAUGCAAGUCGAACGAUGAAGCCCAGCUUGCUGGGUGGAUUAGUGGCGAACGGGUGAGUAACACGUGAGUAACCUGCCCUUGACUCUGGGAUAAGCGCUGGAAACGGCGUCUAAUACCGGAUACGACCUACCCCGGCAUCGGGUGUGGGUGGAAAGUUUUUCGGUCAAGGAUGGACUCGCGGCCUAUCAGCUUGUUGGUGAGGUAAUGGCUCACCAAGGCGACGACGGGUAGCCGGCCUGAGAGGGUGACCGGCCACACUGGGACUGAGACACGGCCCAGACUCCUACGGGAGGCAGCAGUGGGGAAUAUUGCACAAUGGGCGAAAGCCUGAUGCAGCAACGCCGCGUGAGGGAUGACGGCCUUCGGGUUGUAAACCUCUUUUAGUAGGGAAGAAGGACUUCGGUUUGACGGUACCUGCAGAAAAAGCACCGGCUAACUACGUGCCAGCCGCCGCGGUAAAAC